GACGAACGCUGGCGGCGUGCUUAACACAUGCAAGUCGAACGGAAAGGCCCUGCUUUUGUGGGGUGCUCGAGUGGCGAACGGGUGAGUAACACGUGAGUAACCUGCCCUUGACUUUGGGAUAACUUCAGGAAACUGGGGCUAAUACCGGAUAGGAGCUCCUGCUGCAUGGUGGGGGUUGGAAAGUUUCGGCGGUUGGGGAUGGACUCGCGGCUUAUCAGCUUGUUGGUGGGGUAGUGGCUUACCAAGGCUUUGACGGGUAGCCGGCCUGAGAGGGUGACCGGCCACAUUGGGACUGAGGUACUGCCCAGACUCCUACGGGAGGCAGCAGUGGGGAAUAUUGCACAAUGGGCGGAAGCCUGAUGCAGCAACGCCGCGUGCGGGAUGACGGCCUUCGGGUUGUAAACCGCUUUCGCCUGUGACGAAGCGUGAGUGACGGUAAUGGGUAAAGAGGCACCGGCUAACUACGUG
rnacentral:rRNA from 1 species